CUUACGACCAGGGCUACACACGUGCUACAAUGGCAUAUACAAAGAGAAGCGACCUCGCGAGAGCAAGCGGACCUCAUAAUGUAUGUCGUAGUCCGGAUUGGAGUCUGCAACUCGACUCCAUGAAGUCGGAAUCGCUAGUAAUCGUAGAUCAGAAUGCUACGGUGAAUACGUUCCCGGGCCUUGUACACACCGCCCGUCACACCAUGGGAGUGGGUUGCAAAAGAAGUAGGUAGCUUAACCUUCGGGAGGGCGCUUACCACUUAGUGAUUCAUGACUGGGGUGAAGUCGUAACAAGGUAACCGUAGGGGAACCUGCGGUUGGAUCACCUCCUUACCUUAAAGAA
rnacentral:rRNA from 1 species